ensembl:lncRNA
AGAGAGAGUUACAGAGAGAAAGAGAGAUGGGUACAUAGUGAGAGGGAGUUACAGAGAGAAAGAGAGAUGGGUACAGAGUGAGAGAGAGUUACAGAGAGAAAGAGAGAUGGAGAGAUGGGUACAUAGUGAGAGAGAGUUACAGAGAGAAAGAGAGAUGGGUACAUAGUGAUAGAGAGUUACAGAGAGAAAGAGAGAUGGAGAGAUGGGUACAUAGUGAUAGGGAGUUACAGAGAGAAAGAGAGAUGGGUACAUAGUGAUAGGGAGUUACAGAGAGAAAGAGAGAUGGGUACAGAGUGAUAGGGAGUUACAGAGAGAAAGAGAGAUGGGUACAUAGUGAUAGGGAGUUACAGAGAGAAAGAGAGAUGGGUACAGAGUGAUAGGGAGUUACAGAGAGAAAGAGAGAUGGGUACAGAGUGAGAGGGAGUUACAGAGAGAAAGAGAGAUGGGUACAGAGUGAGAGAGAGUUACAGAGAGAAAGAGAGAUGGGUACAGAGAGAGAGAGUUACAGAGAGAAAGAGAGAUGGGUACAGAGAGAGAGAGUGUUAGAGAGAAAGAGAGAUGGGUACAGAGUGAGAGAGAGUUACAGAGAGAAAGAGAGAUGGAGAGAUGGGUACAGAGUGAGAGAGAGUUACAGAGAGAAAGAGAGAUGGAGAGAUGGGAACAGAUUGAGAGGGAUACAGAGAGAGAGAGAGUUACAGAGGGGGAUACAGAGAGAUGGGAACAGAGUGAGGGAUACAGAAUGAAAGAGAGAUGGGUACAGAGUGAGAUAGAUACAGAGAGGGAUACAGAGAGAUGGAGAGAUGGGAUCAGAGUGAGAGGGAUACAGAGGGAAAGAGAGAUGGGUACAGAGUGAGAGAGUUACAGAGAGGGAUACAGAGAGAUGGGAACAGAGAGAGAGGGAUACAGAGAGAUGGAGAGAUGGGAACAGAGUGAGAGGGAUACAGAGUGAGAGAGUUACAGAGAGGGAUACAGAGAGAUGGGAACAGAGAGAGAGGGAUACAGAAUGAAAGAGAGAUGGGUACAGAGUGAGAGAGAUACAGAGAGGGAUACAGAGAGAUGGGAACAGAGAGAGAGGGAUACAGAGGGAAAGAGAGAUGGGUACAGAGUGAGAGAGUUACAGAGAGGGAUACAGAGAGAUGGGAACAGAGUGAGAGGGAUACAGAAUGAAAGAGAGAUGGGUACAGAGAGAGAGUUAUAGAGAGGGAUACAGAGAGAUGGAUACAGAGUGAGAGAGAUACAGAGAGGGAUACAGAGAGAUGGGUACAGAGUGAGAGAGAUACAGAGAGGGAUACAGAGAGAUGGGAACAGAGUGAGAGGGAUACAGAGAGAAAGAGAGAUGGGUACAGAGUGAGAGGGAUACAGAGAGGGAUAAAGAGAGAUGGGUACAGAGUGAGAGAGUUACAGAGAGGGAUACAGAGAGAUGGGUACAGAGUGAGAGAGUUACAGAGAGGGAUAAAGAGAGAUGGGUACAGAGUGAGAGAGUUACAGAGAGGGAUACAGAGAGAUGGAACAGAGUGAGAGGGAUACAGAUUGAAAGAGAGAGGGAUACAGAGACAUGGGAACAGAGUGAGAGGGAUACAGAAUGAAAGAGCGAUGUGUAUAGAGUGAGAGAGUUAGAGAGAAAGAGAGAUGGGUACAGAGUGAGAGAGAGUUACAGAGAGAAAGAGAGAUGGGUACAGAGUGAGAGAGAGUUACAGAGAGAAAGAGAGAUGGAGAGAUGUGUACAGAGUGAGAGAGAGUUACAGAGAGAAAGAGAGAUGGGUACAGAGAGAGAGUGUUAGAGAAAGAGAGAGAUGGAGAGAUGGGUACAGAGUGAGAGAGAGUUACAGAGAGAAAGAGAGAUGGGUACAGAGAGAGAGAGAGUUACAGAGAGAAAGAGAGAUGGGUACAGAGUGAGAGAGAUACAGAGAGAGAGAGUUACAGAGGGGGAUACAGAGAGAUGGGAACAGAGUGAGGGAUACAGAAUGAAAGAGAGAUGGGUACAGAGUGAGAGAGUUACAGACAGAAAGAGAGAUGGAGAGAUGGGAACAGAGUGAGAGAGAUACAGAGAGAGAGAGUUACAGAGGGGGAUACAGAGAGAUGGGAACAGAGUGAGAGGGAUACAGAAUGAAAGAGAGAUGGGUACAGAGUGAGAGAGAUACAGAGAGGGAUACAGAGAGAUGGAGAGAUGGGAUCAGAGUGAGAGAGAUACAGAGAGAUGGGUACAGAGUGAGAGGGAUACAGAGAGGGAUACAGAGAGAUGGGUACAGAGAGGGAUACAGAGAGAUGGAGAGAUGGGAACAGAGUGAGAGGGAUACAGAGUGAGAGAGUUACAGAGAGGGAUACAGAGA